rnacentral:tRNA from 1 species
AGUUAAAUAGUUUAUAAUAAAAUAUUAAUUUUGUAAAUUAAAGAUAUUAAAAAAAUUUUAACUU